GGCAUCUCAGGUCACUGAAAAUGGAGCUUUUGCAAAACUCCAUCCAGGGUGAAGAUAUUAAGAAACUCCAUUUUCAGCGUCGACAUGUAGACAGGGAAUUUGUUAGCUAUACAUUUCAUCCUCACUGCAUGCGCUGCAAAUUAGCCCCAGUAACAUGCAGGUUCACAAUGAAAGAUAAGGAACAUGCUAUUUUGUAAUUAUUUAUUUUUGAAAAAAGUUGGGGGGGUCCCCCCACCCCCCUAUUUCCAACAGCCCCUGGUGUAAUGGGGUUAAAGUGUUCACGGUUUUUGCACUGAAAGGGCACCUACAGUGCAUGGAAAAAGUACUGAGCCCCACUUCACUGUUAAUGAUCAGAUUUGUGUCACGACUUGAAGGACAAAGGACUCGAAGGCAGGCAUGUCGGUGGAACAGAAAAGGGGUUUUAUUGAACUAACUCAAUAAGGACAUUAAAUAAACUAGAUCACAGGGUAUCAAUAACAGGAGGACUAGAAGAAGGAACAGCACAAGUAACAGGAAGGUUUGAAGUCAAUGACCGUACUGGGGUACACAACUCUGGGAAGCACAUAUAUACAAGACUAAUGAGGGAGCUAGUGAGAGGCAGCUGGGACUGAUUAACACAAGGGUUUUGGAAUGAGAAGCAAAGCAAACGAGUGACAGGCCUGGCUUGUUGGGGCCGUGCUAGAGAGGAGACAGGGGGGUCAGGUGAACACGGCGGGCAGGGCGUGGUGCUCUGCCUGAAUUACAUAUGAGAGAUACACAUAUUCUUCUGGUCAGUAAUUUUAUUGCAGACUCAUGGUCUCACAAUGAAUUUUAAAAAUCAAAAUCGAUUAUUUGUCAGCAAAUCCUUCAAAGAGAUUAAAAAACUGCUUGCUUAAGCAUUCCACCCAGAGCAUUAGUAUGUGGUAUCGGCACCCUUCCCUGCAACAACAGCGCUAAGUAUUCUGGAAAUGCUCCAAAGCAACGGAGAACCGUAAUACCCUGGACCUACAACAUUGGAUGUAGAUGUUCUGCAGGACAACACUACAGUGGUGGGUCUGAUCAGCAACAGUGAUGAAACCGCAAACGGGCAAGAGACAGAGCGGCCGGCAGGGUGGUGUGCGGACGAUAUCCUGGCCCUGAAUGUGGAAAAGGCCAGUCAAUGGCACCAACUUCCUCAGAGUCCACGUAUCAGAUGACCUCUCCUGGAUCAACAGCAUCACCUUCCAGAGCAGGAAGGCACCACAGCGCCUGCACUUUCUCCACUGCCUCUCCCCUCCAGUUCUCGCAGCUUUCUACCGAGGGGCCUUAGAGACCAUCCUAAUCAGCUACAUCACUGUCUGGUACGGGAACCGCAAGUCCCUCCAGCAGGACAGCAGAGAAGAUAAUAGGUACCUCUCUACCCACCCUCACGCACAUAUACAUCAAACACUACAGCAGUGCCCCCAGGCCAGCAGGCUUCUCAGCUCCCACCUACCCCAUAAAUGCUGCUAGAUGCUCAUUUGCACUGCACUGUUUCUACUAUUUGCAUAGUCUGUUUACAUGCACUGUAUUGUGGCUGUUGUUGCACUUUGUUGUGCAUUGUCUGUGCUGUUGUUUUGGCUGUAUGCUGCUCUGUAGAAACACACGUGUGUGAAGUGACACUAAAGUGACUUAACUUGAAAUGCUAGAAUAGCCCCAUCCUUUAGGUGCUUAUCACACUGCACUGCUGUACACUGCAUCCUCCCCGUGCAUCGUGGCUGGUCUCACGGGCACUGGAGGUCCCCCACCAGUUCCUUCGUCUUGCUGACUCUGAGCUGUAGGUCAUUCCUCCAGCAGCCUGUAAUACCCGGACUCAUCUCCAUUGCUGAUGCACCCUGAGACGUGCAAUCCUGGAGCUUCACAAACUGUUGCCUGAUAUUUCUUCAUUAUUAUUUUAUUCUUUUUUGUUAUCCAUAACGAGAGCCUAAUUUGUGCCAGAUCCGCCCGGGUCCUCUCUGUUUUUGACUGUC